GAUGAAGAACGCAGCGAAAUGCGAUAAGUAGUGUGAAUUGCAGAAUUCAGUGAAUCAUCGAAUCUUUGAACGCACAUUGCGCCCUUUAGUAUUCCUUAGGGCAUGCCUGUUCGAGCGUCAUUUAAACCUUCAAGCUAAGCUUGGUGUUGGGUGACUGUCCGCUUCACUGCGGACUCGCCUCAAAAUUAUUGGCGGCCGGUACAUUGGCUUCGAGCGCAGCAGAAACGCGAACUCGGGCCCGUCGUAUUGGCUCCCAGAAGCUAUCUUCACAAUUUUGACCUCGGAUCAGGUAGGGAUACCCGCUGAACUUAAGCAUAUCAAUAAGCGGAGGA
rnacentral:misc_RNA from 1 species